rnacentral:rRNA from 14 species
CGUGAACCUUUACUAUAGCUUAGUAUUGGCUUUGGAUAAGUAAUGUGUAGGAUAGGUGGGAGACUUUGAAGCGGCGUCGCCAGGCGUUGUGGAGUCAUUGUUGAAAUACCACCCUUUACUUAUUUGAAGCCUAACCCCGCAUAAGCGGGGGACAGUUCUUGGUGGGUAGUUUGACUGGGGUGGUCGCCUCCAAAAGAGUAACGGAGGCUUCUAAAGGUUCCCUCAGCACGCUUGGUAACCGUGCGUAGAGUGCAAUGGCAUAAGGGAGCUUGACUGAGAGACAUACAGGUCGAUCAGGUACGAAAGUAGAGCAUAGUGAUCCGGUGGUUCCGCAUGGAAGGGCCAUCGCUCAAAGGAUAAAAGGUACUCCGGGGAUAA